rnacentral:rRNA from 1 species
GACGAACGCUGGCGGCGUGCUUAACACAUGCAAGUCGAACGAAGAGCGAUGGAAGCUUGCUUCUAUCAAUCUUAGUGGCGCACGGGUGAGUAACGCGUAAUCAACCUGCCCUUCAGAGGGGGACAACAGUUGGAAACGACUGCUAAUACCGCAUACGAUCUAAUCUCGGCAUCGAGGAUAGAUGAAAGGUGGCCUCUACAUGUAAGCUAUCACUGAAGGAGGGGAUUGCGUCUGAUUAGCUAGUUGGAGGGGUAACGGCCCACCAAGGCGAUGAUCAGUAGCCGGUCUGAGAGGAUGAACGGCCACAUUGGGACUGAGACACGGCCCAGACUCCUACGGGAGGCAGCAGUGGGGAAUCUUCCGCAAUGGACGAAAGGCUGACGGAGCAACGCCGCGUGAGGGAUGACGGCCUUCGGGUUGUAAAGCUCUGUUAAUCGGGACGAAAGGCCUUCUUGCGAAUAGUGAGAAGGAUUGACGGUACCGGAAUAGAAAGCCACGGCUAACUACGUG